rnacentral:lncRNA from 1 species
UUUCAAUAUGGUCCACCCAUUCAUUUUACCAACAAACGGUGUUAGCUUUCUCUCUCAAUGGAUGAAAAUAUCCCUCUUAUAGGUGGGCUUGGAGGGGAAAGAGAAUAAGAAGGAGAAGUGAAUGCGAAAGGAGAGAAGGGGAGAAGAGUCACUAGCAAAGAAAGGAUUGGAGCAGAAGGAGGACAGGAAGGAGAAGAGGUUGGGGA